GAUUGAACGCUGGCGGCAGGCUUAACACAUGCAAGUCGAGCGGAGACUUCGGUCUUAGCGGCGAACGGGUGAGGAAUGCCUGGGAAUCUGCCUGUUAGUGGGGGAUAACGUUCCGAAGGGAACGCUAAUACCGCAUACGUCCUACGGGAGAAAGCAGGGGACCUUCGGGCCUUGCGCUAACAGAUGAGCCCAGGUCGGAUUAGCUAGUUGGUGGGGUAAAGGCUCACCAAGGCGACGAUCCGUAGCUGGUCUGAGAGGAUGAUCAGCCACACUGGAACUGAGACACGGUCCAGACUCCUACGGGAGGCAGCAGUGGGGAAUAUUGGACAAUGGGGGAAACCCUGAUCCAGCCAUGCCGCGUGUGUGAAGAAGGCCUUCGGGUUGUAAAGCACUUUAAGCGGGGAGGAAGGCCUUGAGGAUAAUACCCUUGAGGAUUGACGUUACCCGCAGAAUAAGCACCGGCUAACUCUGUGCCAGCAGCCGCGGUAAUACAGAGGGUGCAGGCGUUAAUCGGAAUUACUGGGCGUAAAGCGCGCGUAGGCGGUUUGUUAAGUCGGAUGUGAAAUCCCCGGGCUCAACCUGGGCACGGCAUCCGAUACUGGCUGACUAGAGUGUGGGAGAGGAAGGUAGAAUUCCAGGUGUAGCGGUGAAAUGCGUAGAGAUCUGGAGGAAUACCGAUGGCGAAGGCAGCCUUCUGGCCUAACACUGACGCUGAGGUGCGAAAGCAUGGGGAGCAAACAGGAUUAGAUACCCUGGUAGUCCAUGCCGUAAACGAUGUCAACUAGCCGUUGGGGACCUUGAGUCUUUAGUGGCGCAGCUAACGCGAUAAGUUGACCGCCUGGGGAGUACGGCCGCAAGGUUAAAACUCAAAUGAAUUGACGGGGGCCCGCACAAGCGGUGGAGUAUGUGGUUUAAUUCGAUGCAACGCGAAGAACCUUACCUGGCCUUGACAUAUCCGGAAUCCUGCAGAGAUGCGGGAGUGCCUUCGGGAAUCGGAAUACAGGUGCUGCAUGGCUGUCGUCAGCUCGUGUCGUGAGAUGUUGGGUUAAGUCCCGCAACGAGCGCAACCCUUGUCCUUAGUUGCCAGCACGUAAUGGUGGGAACUCUAGGGAGACUGCCGGUGACAAACCGGAGGAAGGCGGGGACGACGUCAAGUCAUCAUGGCCCUUACGGCCAGGGCUACACACGUACUACAAUGGUCGGUACAAAGGGUUGCUAACCCGCGAGGGCAUGCUAAUCUCAAAAAGCCGAUCGUAGUCCAGAUUGGAGUCUGCAACUCGACUCCAUGAAGUCGGAAUCGCUAGUAAUCGCGGAUCAGAAUGCCGCGGUGAAUACGUUCCCGGGCCUUGUACACACCGCCCGUCACACCAUGGGAGUCUAUUGCACCAGAAGUAGCUAGCUUAACCUUCGGGAGGGCGGUUACCACGGUGUGGUCGAUGACUGGGGUGAA
rnacentral:rRNA from 1 species